UAGCCGUAAGUGAACCUGCGGAAGGAUCAUUCAUAAUAAGUGUUUUAUGGCACUUUUUAAAUCCAUAUCCACCUUGUGUGCAAUGUUUUGAAAAUCGCCUUCUUGGUGGUUUUUUAAUUACAUCAACCAAUUUUAACAAAUUUGUCUUAAAAAUUCUUGAAUAAAUAUAAUUCAAAAAACAACUUUCAACAACGGAUCUCUUGGCUCUC
rnacentral:misc_RNA from 1 species